rnacentral:rRNA from 1 species
CCUACGGGUGGCAGCAGUGGGGAAUAUUGGGCAAUGGGCGCAAGCCUGACCCAGCAACGCCGCGUGAAGGAAGAAGUAAUUCGUUAUGUAAAGCUCUAUCAGCAGGGAAGAAAGUGACGGUACCUGAAAAAGAAGCUCCGGCUAAAUACGUGCCAGCAGCCGCGGUAAUACGUAUGGAGCAAGCGUUAUCCGGAUUUACUGGGUGUAAAGGGAGAGUAGGUGGCAGAGCAAGUCCGAAGUGAAAACCCAAAGCUCAACUAUGGGAAUGCUUUAGAAACUGCUCAGCUAGAGUGCAGGAGAGGCAAGUGGAAUUCUUAGUGUAGCGGUGAAAUGCGUAGAUAUUAGGAGGAACACCAGUGGCGAAGGCGGCUUGCUGGACUGUAACUGACACUGAGGCUCGAAAGCGUGGGGAGCAAACAGGAUUAGAUACCCCUGUAGUC